GUCAAAUAAAUGAAGGCAUAUGGUGGAGACCUAGGCAUUUAGAGACGAUGAAGGGCGCAGAUACCGGCGAUACGCUUCGGGGAGCUGGCAACAAGCAUUGAUCCGGAGAUUCCCGAAUGGGGCAACCUCUUAGAACUGUUCAUUGAAUUCAUAGAUGAGCAAGAGGCAACUUAGUGAAUUGAAACAUCUUAGUAACUAAAGGAAUAGAAAGCAAAAGCGAUUCCCAAAGUAGCGGCGAGCGAAAUGGGAACAGCCUAAACCAGCUCAUAGGGUUGGGGUCGUGGGAAAACAGUUCGAAAAUUUGUCAAGUUGCGCAUACGCGCAAGUUGCUCAUACUUCGCAACCAAGGGCCAAAAGCCAAGAGCCAAUUGAAAUAAAAUUUUCAAAAAAAUCUCGACGAAGCAGCUGAAUCCUGCACCAUAGAUGGUGAAAGUCCAGUAGUCAAAAGUUUGAAUCUCUCUGUUUUAUCCCGAGUAGCAUGGGGCACGUGGAAUCCCGUGUGAAUCAGCGAGGACCACCUCGUAAGGCUAAAUACUCCUAAAUGACCGAUAGCGAAAUAGUACAGUGAUGGAAAGUUGAAAGAGAACCCCCUUAAGGGGAGUGAAAUAGAACAUGAAACCGUAUGCUGACAAGCAGUGGGAGGGAUAUGUACCUGACCGCGUGCCUGUUGAAGAAUGAGCCGGCGACUUAUAGGGAAUGGCGGGUUAAGGACAGAGAUCCGGAGCCCAAGCGAAAGCGAGUCUGAAUAGGGCGUUCAAAGUCAUUUCUUAUGGACCCGAACCUGGAUGAUCUAACCAUGGCCAGGAUGAAGCUUGGGUAACACCAAUUGGAGGUCCCGAACCGACCGAUGUUGAAAAAUCGGCGGAUGAGCUGUGGUUAGGGGAGAAAUUCCAAUCGAAUUCAGAGCUAGCUGGUUCUCCCCGAAAUGCGUUGAGGCGCAGCGGUAACGAUGAGCUGUCGAGGGGUAGAGCACUGUUUCGAUACGGGCUGCGAAAGCGGUACCAAGUCGUGGCAAACUCCGAAUACUCGGCAAGCCUUCCGUAAACCAGUGAGACAGUGGGGGAUAAGCUUCAUUGUCAAGAGGGAAACAGCCCAGAUCACCAGCUAAGGCCCCUAAAUGGCCGCUAAGUGGAAAAGGAUGUGAGAAUGCUGAAACAACCAGGAGGUUUGCUUAGAAGCAGCAACUCCUUUAAAGAGUGCGUAAUAGCUCACUGGUAAAGCGUUCUUGCGCCGAUAAUGGCCGGGACUAAGCGGCCUGCCGAAGCUGUGGGAUUUUUUUUCUUUUAAUUUUUUAAAAAGUUGCGCAUACGCGCAAGUUGCUCAUACUUCGCAACCAAGAGCCAAAAGCCAAGAGACAGAAAAAAAAUCGGUAGGGGAGCGUUCUCCAUUGGGUGAAGCGAUCACGUAAGUGUUCGUGGACAGUGGAGAAGUGAGAAUGUUGGCUUGAGUAACGAAAACAUUGGUGAGAAUCCAAUGCCCCGAAAACCUAAGGGUUCCUCCACAAGGUUCGUCCAUGGGGGGUGAGUCAGGACCUAAGGCGAGGCCGAACGGCGUAGUCGAUGGCAAACAGGUUAAUAUUCCUGUACUUAUUAUUGUGGGGACCGAGGGACGAAGAAGGCUAAAUUGUAGCUGUGCAUGGAAUACAGUGGAAGCGUUCAAGACGUUGAUAGGUCGAAUAAAAACGACUCUAGAGUUAAGGCGUGAUCCCAUUUUCUGGAACUUGUUCCGGAUGGAUGUCAACGAUGUCAUACUUCCAAGAAAAGCUCGUACACUAUUAACACAAUAAUAACCUGUACCAGAAACCGACACAGGUAGGUAAGUAGAGAAUACUCAGGGGCGCGAGAGAACUCUCUCUAAGGAACUCGGCAAACUGGCCCCGUAACUUCGGAAGAAGGGGCGCCUGAGAAAUCAGGCCGCAGUGUCCAGGCUCAGGCGACUGUUUACCAAAAACACAGGUCUCCGCAAAGUCGUAAGACAAUAUAUGGGGGCUGACGCCUGCCCAGUGCCGGAAGGUGAAGGAAGUUGGUUAUUUUGAAUUUCAAGAGAAGCUGACGACCGAAGCCCCGGUGAACGGCGGCUGUAACUAUGACAGUCCUAAGGUAGCGAAAUUCAUUGUCGAGUAAGUUUCGACCUGCACGAAAGGCGUAACGAUCUGAGCGCUGUCUCAGAGAGAGACUCGGUGAAAUAGACUUGUCCGUGAAGAUGCGGACUACUAACAUUUGGACAGAAAGACCCUAUGAAGCUUGACUGUAUUCUGGAAUGGAAUUCGGGCUUUUCUUGCGCAGUCUAGGUGGGAGGCGUUGAAGAUUUCCUUCCGGGGAAGUUGGAGCCAUCAGUGAGAGACCACUCUGGGAAGGCUAGAAUUCUAAUGGCGAUCCUUGAAUCAGGACGCUUGACAGUUUCAGAUGGGCAGUUUCUCUGGGGCGGAGACCUCCCUAAAAGGUAACGGAGGUGCGCAAUGGUUCCCUCAGUCUGGACGGAAAUCAGACAUUGAGUGUAAAGGCAAAAGGGAGCUUGACUGUGAGACCUACAAGUCAAACAGGGGCGAAAGCCGGCCUUAGUGAUCCGACGGUGCUGUGUGGAAAGGCCGUCGCUCAACGGAUAAAAGUUACUCUAGGGAUAACAGGCUAAUCUUCUCCAAGAGUUCACAUCGACGAGAAGGUUUGGCACCUCGAUGUCGGCUCAUCACAUCCUGGGGCUGUAGUAGGUCCCAAGGGUUGGGCUGUUCGCCCAUUAAAGUGGUACGUGAGCUGGGUUCAGAACGUCGCGAGACAGUUCGGUCCAUAUCCGAUGUUAGCGUUAGAAUAUUGAGGUCAGUCACUCAUAGUACGAGAGGACCUGUAGUGAUCAUGCCUAUGGUCUAUCAGUUCUUUUUCCAAAGGGAAACGCUGAGUAGCUACGCAUGGAGUGCAUAACCGCUGAAAGCAUCUAAGUGGGAAGGCCAGACCAAGAUGAGUAUUCUCCAUUAAGCCGCAGCAAGACAAGCUGUAGAUAGGUAUCAGGUGUACAAUCAGUAAUGGUUUGAGCCGAGAUAUACUAAAGGCAGACUGAUUUUGAC
rnacentral:rRNA from 1 species